rnacentral:rRNA from 1 species
GCACCUACGUGUAGGUGUCUGACGGUACCGUAAGAAUAAGGACCGGCUAACUCCGUGCCAGCAGCCGCGGUAAUACGGAGGGUCCGAGCGUUAUCCGGAAUCAUUGGGUUUAAAGGGUCCGUAGGCGGGCCUGUAAGUCAGGGGUGAAAGUUUGUGGCUCAACCAUAAAAUUGCCUUUGAUACUGCAGGUCUUGAGUCAUGGUGGGGUUGCCGGAACAUGUGGUGUAGCGGUGAAAUGCAUAGAUAUCACAUAGAACACCGAUCGCGAAGGCAGGUGACCAACCAUGUACUGACGCUGAUGGACGAAAGCGUGGGUAGCGAACGGGAUUAGAUACCCCGGUAGUCCACGCCGUAAACGAUGGAUACUAGCUGUGGGGACUUUGUCUCCGUGGCCAAGCGAAAGUGAUAAGUAUCCCACCUGGGGAGUACGUUCGCAAGAAUGAAACUCAAAGGAAUUGACGGGGGCCCGCACAAGCGGUGGAGCAUGUGGUUUAAUUCGAUGAUACGCGAGGAACCUUACCAGGGCUUAAAUGUAAGUUGCAUUAGUUGGAGACAGCUAUUUCUUCGGACCACUUACAAGGUGCUGCAUGGUUGUCGUCAGCUCGUGCCGUGAGGUGUCAGGUUAAGUCCUAUAACGAGCGCAACCCCUACCGUUAGUUGCCAGCAUGUCAAGAUGGGGACUCUAACGGGACUGCCGGUGCAAACCGUGAGGAAGGUGGGGACGACGUCAAAUCAUCACGGCCCUUACGUCCUGGGCUACACACGUGCUACAAUGGCCGGUACAGAGGGAAGCCACCCCGCAAGGGGGCGCGGAUCUAUAAAACCGGUCACAGUUCGGAUCGGGGUCUGCAACUCGACCCCGUGAAGCUGGAAUCGCUAGUAAUCGGAUAUCAGCCAUGAUCCGGUGAAUACGUUCCCGGGCCUUGUACACACCGCCCGUCAAGCCAUGGAAGCCGGGAGUGCCUGAAGUCCGUCACCGCAAGGAGCGGCCUAGGGCAAAAUCGGUAACUAGGGCUAAGUCGUAACAAGGUAGCCGUACCGGAAGGUGCGGCUGGAACACCUCCUUUCU